GAUGAACGCUGGCGGCGUGCCUAAUACAUGCAAGUCGAGCGAACAGACGAGGAGCUUGCUCCUCUGACGUUAGCGGCGGACGGGUGAGUAACACGUGGAUAACCUACCUAUAAGACUGGGAUAACUUCGGGAAACCGGAGCUAAUACCGGAUAAUAUAUUGAACCGCAUGGUUCAAUAGUGAAAGACGGUUUUGCUGUCACUUAUAGAUGGAUCCGCGCCGCAUUAGCUAGUUGGUAAGGUAACGGCUUACCAAGGCAACGAUGCGUAGCCGACCUGAGAGGGCGAGCAGCCAGACUGGGACGGAGACCCGGCCGAGACUCCGGCGGGAGGCAGCAGUGGGGAAGUUUGGAGAAGGGGGGCAACCCUGAGCGAGGCAGGCCGCGUGCGGGAAGAAGGUCUUCGGGUUGUAAAACGUUUUGGUACGGGAAGAAAAAAGCGGGGAUAAUACCCCGGGGGGAUGAGGGGACCGUAAGAAGAAGCACCGGCAAACGACGUG
rnacentral:rRNA from 1 species